rnacentral:rRNA from 1 species
CCUACGGGGGGCUGCAGUGAGGAAUAUUGGUCAAUGGGCGCGAGCCUGAACCAGCCAAGUCGCGUGAGGGAAGACGGUCCUAUGGAUUGUAAACCUCUUUUGUCGGGGAGCAAAAGACGCCACGCGUGGCGUUCCGAGAGUACCCGAAGAAAAAGCAUCGGCUAACUCCGUGCCAGCAGCCGCGGUAAUACGGAAGGUCCGGGCGUUAUCCGGAUUUAUUGGGUUUAAAGGGAGCGUAGGCCGCAUGUCAAGCGUGCUGUGAAACGUCCGGGCUGAACCCGGGCCUUGCAGCGCGAACUGGCGUGCUUGAGUCCGCGGAAAGCAGGCGGAAUUCGUCGUGUAGCGGUGAAAUGCAUAGAUAUCGCGCAGAACUCCGAUUGCGAAGGCAGCGUACCGGCGCCAGACUGACGCUGAGGCACGAAAGCGUGGGGAUCGAACAGGAUUAGAUACCCGUGUAGUC